GGGUGUUCGCUGUAUCGGCAGCGACAGGAAAGCGAUGGUCGGGCCGCCACG
rnacentral:ncRNA from 2 species